UACUCCAUUUACCAAGAUCGGAAUCUUUCGUACGUUUCACUCUCCCAAACCCGUUUGUUUACAUUGUUGUAUUUGUAAUUUUGACAAUUAGUCCAUGAAUAGAUGUGAAAACAAACAAAAAAAAAACGAUGCCGUGGGCUAGCGGCACUUUGCAAAGCAAAAACAAAAUGGGGUGGUUAAUAAGUUUGUUUUCAUAUUUUUCUUUUUACUUUUUUCGAUGAAAAACUCAGUUUUAAGUUUUAGUUUUGCAGUCAUUUUGUUGAUAGCGAACCAAUCAAUCACUACGAAAUUGUUCAAAUUUCAUAACUAACUUCGGAUUAUCGUAUCAAAAAUGCGUUCGAAGAACCAUCAAGUUAAGGGUGCGAGCGCAAUUUAUUGAAUUCAAAUUUUGUUUGCAAGUAUUUAAAAUCUGUAUCAAUUUAAUUAAUUCAAGUAUAUUUAUAGUUUGUUUUUGAUGAUUUAAGCUUGCAACUAUUUUUCAAUUCCAUUUCAUUCCUUAAAAAUGUUAAGUUACCAAAGUUCAAGUUUACUUAUUAUUGUUUGAAGGGUAUGUUUAAUAAAAAUGCUGCUAAUAAUGAAAACAAAUUAUUGAGUUUUACGUA